rnacentral:rRNA from 1 species
AAGCGGUGGAGCAUGUGGCUUAAUUCGAGGCUACGCGAAGAACCUUAUCCCGGGCUUGACAUGCACGGAUUAGCGCGGUGAAAGCCGCGUGACGCCUUCGGGUGGAACGUGCACAGGUGCUGCAUGGCUGUCGUCAGCUCGUGCCGUGAGGUGUUGGGUUAAGUCCCGUAACGAGCGAAACCCCUGCGACCAGUUGCCAGCAUUGAGUUGGGGACUCUGGUCGGACCGCCGGCGUCAAGCCGGAGGAAGGCGGGGACG